UACAGAGGUCUCAAGCGUUGUUCGGAUUCAUUGGGCGUAAAGGGUGUGUAGGUGGCGCGCUAAGUCGGGUGUGAAAUUUCGGAGCUUAACUCCGAAACUGCAUUCGAUACUGGCGUGCUUGAGGACUGGGGAGGAGACUGGAAUUUACGGUGUAGCAGUGAAAUGCGUAGAUAUCGUAAGGAAGACCAGUGGCGAAGGCGGGUCUCUGGACAGUUCCUGACACUGAGACACGAAAGCCAGGGGAGCAAACGGG
rnacentral:rRNA from 1 species